rnacentral:lncRNA from 1 species
UUGUUCUUCUCGUAGCGAGUUUUUUAAAUUAUAUAAACUAUCACAUGUAUUUUUAUCUAAAUUUUCUAAGGUUUUUUCUACCCAUGCUAAUUUUUCUUUUAGGUCUUUUAUUAUUUUUCUAAUUCGGUUUCUAUAACUAAUUUCAUUAUUUAGAUUUUCUUGAUUUUCUCUAGUUUGUCUAAUAUAUUCUAACAUGUUUUUAGUCUGAAUAAUAUUCUUCUGGGUAAAUUUCUUCGUAUAACUGUUCUAGAUAAUUGGUAGUUUCAUUUUCAUAAUUUAUUAUUUCUUCUAAUAUUAUUUUCUUAAUAUCCAUAAUUUCUAUGUUUUUAAGUAUAUAUAAUAUUAAAACUUUAAGAUAAUCUAAAUGAUCUAUUUUUAAAAAUUGGUUUUAUAAUAUUUUGUAGUUGUUUGUUCUAGCCUUAGUAGUUUUUGCAUAUUUUUAUUAAGAAAUUUUAUAUCUUUAUUUCCCAUGUAUUUAUCUAUAUUUAUUUUUAUCUGUUUUUCUAGUAACUGCAUAUUUUCUAAAAAUUUUAUGUAACUUAUCAUCGUAAAUAUUUGUAAGAGUAGUUAGGUAGAUAUGGUAUAUAGCUUACUCUAGUCAUGUAAUAUUCAC